UACGUAGGGUGCAAGCGUUAAUCGGAAUUACUGGGCGUAAAGCGUGCGCAGGCGGUUAUGUAAGACAGAUAUGAAAUGCCCGGGCUUAACCUGGGAACUGCAUUUGUGACUGCAUGGCUAGAGUUUGGCAGAGGGGGUAGAAUUCCACGUGUAGCAGUGAAAUGCGUAGAUAUGUGGAGGAACACCGAUGGCGAAGGCAGCCCCCUGGGUCAAGACUGACGCUCAUGCACGAAAGCGUGGGGAGCAAACAGG
rnacentral:rRNA from 1 species